rfam:Myotis brandtii contig220509, whole genome shotgun sequence.
GCCAGUGUGGCUCAGUGGUAGAGUGUUGACCUGUGUACCAAUGUGGGUUAGACUCCCAGUCAAUGGCA